rnacentral:rRNA from 1 species
UGGGGGAUAUUGCACAAUGGGCGAAAGCCUGAUGCAGCGACGCCGCGUGGGGGAUGAAGGCCUUCGGGUUGUAAACUUCUUUUGCUCUGAACAAGGCGCACCAUGGGGUGUGUUGAGUGUAGGGGUUGAUUAGCGCCGUCUAACUACGUGCCAGCAGCCGCGGUAAUACGUAUGGCGCGAGCUUUGUCCGGAAUUAUUGGGCGUAAAGGGCUUGUAGGUGGCUGGUUGCGUCUGUCGUGAAAGCUCAUGGCUUAACUGUGGGUUUGCGGUGGGUACGGGCUGGCUUGAGUGCAGUAGGGGAGGCUGGAAUUCCUGGUGUAGCGGUGGAAUGCGCAGAUAUCAGGAGGAAUACCGGUGGCGAAGGCGGGUCUCUGGGCUGUUACUGACACUGAGGAGCGAAAGCAUGGGGAGCGAACAGG